rnacentral:rRNA from 1 species
GCUUGUCUCAAAGAUUAAGCCAUGCAUGUCUCAGAAUAAAUCUCUAUACGUUGAAUCUGCAAAUGGCUCUUUAAAACAGUUAUUGUUUACUUGAUGGUCAUUCCUUACAUGGAUAACCGUGGUAAAUCUAUGGCUAAUACAUGCGCAAAGGCCCGACCCUGAAGGGCUGUAUUUAUUAGAUCUAACCAUCAUUUGGUGAAUCAUAGUAACUGAUCGGACCGUGCGUUAGCGCGGUAAAUCGUUCAAGUUUCUGCCCUAUCAGCUUUCGAUGGUAGUGUAUUGGACUACCAUGGCAGUCACGGGUAACGGAGAAUUAGGGUUCGGUUCCGGAGAGGGAGCCUGAGAAACGGCUACCACAUCUAAGGAAGGCAGCAGG